AACGAACGCUGGCGGCAGGCUUAACACAUGCAAGUCGAGCGCCCCGCAAGGGGAGCGGCAGACGGGUGAGUAACGCGUGGGAACGUACCCUUGCUACAGAAUAGCCCCGGGAAAAUGGAAUUAAUAACGAAUGUGCCCUACGGGGGGAAGAUUUAUCGGCGAAGGAUCGGCCCGCGUUGGAUUAGCUAGUUGGUGGGGUAAUGGCCUACCAAGGCGACGAUCCAUAGCUGGUCUGAGAGGAUGAUCAGCCACAUUGGGACUGAGACACGGCCCAAACUCCUACGGGAGGCAGCAGUGGGGAACAUUGGACAAUGGGCGCAAGCCUGAUCCAGCCAUGCCGCGUGAGUGAUGAAGGCCUUAGGGUUGUAAAGCUCUUUCACCGGGGAAGAUAAUGACGGUAUCCGGAGAAGAAGCCCCGGCUAACUUCGUGCCAGCCGCCGCGGUAACAC
rnacentral:rRNA from 1 species